GGCCCUGGAACAGUUCCAUCUUACCAGCAGAGUGAGGUUUCAUUCUAGUGCGGAAAAUGAAUAUUUUGGGAUAUAUUGUUAUUAUAACAAAGUCAGGUGUUCAUGCUUUCCGUACCUGCUAAACAAAUUACUUGUUAUUUUGGAAGGUGAUACCAACUCCAUCCCGAAGUACCUCAGUUUUGGGCCCUGGUAAUUCCUCUACCGGUCCCACAAAGAACCCGUUGAGCUUUCUUCCAACACUAUCUUCAAAAGAUGAUGAUGAAACCUCUAACAGAUGGUUAGAUGAGGAUGGAGGUGAUGAGAUACCUUAUUGUGUAUCACCUGAUAUCAGUGACUUUGAUAUCAGUGAUUUUGACUCCUCUUCUGACUCAAGUACUCACCUACUGGAUAAAUCUUAAUUUCUAAAGAGAUUUUACAUUUCUGCCAUUUGUGUGUAGUAGUCUGUAUAGUCUACAUUUAAACAUGUUUAUAAGAUACAUUUAGUUUGGGUUCUUCUUUUGUAGACAGAGGGAGUUUUUCUGAUGCAAGUUGAUCAGCUCACUUCCUUUCUCUCUCAAAAUUAUGGAUUGCCUGUCUCCUCAACAGAUCCAGAUAAUGAAAAGUUAAAUUGUUAGGGUCAUUGAUAACUGAUAACCCAUCCAAAGAUGCCAUCAGGAGGAGGACAUUGGAAAGGCAACACUUCAUUUUUUUGCUCCCAAAGCCCCCU